GGCGCAUUCGUCUAGUGGUUAGGACAUAGCCCUCUCAAGGCUAAAACAGGGGUUCAAGUCCCCUAUGCGCUA
rfam:Candidatus Levybacteria bacterium RBG_16_35_11 RBG_16_scaffold_43825, whole genome shotgun sequence.